rnacentral:tRNA from 1 species
AUUGCUCAGUGGUAGAGCAUGUGCUUACCAUGUGCAAGAUCUUGGGUUCAAUCCCCAGU